GACGUAGGGCGCGAGCGUUGUCCGGAUUUAUUGGGCGUAAAGAGCGUGUAGGCGGCCAGGUAGGUCUGCUGUGAAAACUCGAGGCUCAACCUCGAGACGUCGGCGGAAACCAUCUGGCUAGAGUCCGGAAGAGGAGAGUGGAAUUCCUGGUGUAGCGGUGAAAUGCGCAGAUAUCAGGAAGAACACCCGUGGCGAAGGCGGCUCUCUGGGACGGUAC
rnacentral:rRNA from 1 species